rnacentral:rRNA from 1 species
AUGAUAUUGAGGAGUACAGCAGUAACACGAGCAAAUUCAGCCUUUCUUCGUAUGGAGGAACGUGUUGAUUUCAAGUAUGACGGUGUCAACAACGAGAGCAAAGAGCGUAAGGGAGGGCAUGGCAUCCCAAAGGUUUCCAUGGUCCCACUUGUCUUCCUCAUAUUCUAUGAAGUCUCAGGAGGUCCCUUUGGGAUUGAGGAUAGUGUCAAGGCUGCUGGACCACUCCUGGCAAUUGUGGGGUUUCUUCUGUUUGCGCUCAUAUGGAGUAUUCCAGAAGUCCUAAUCACUGCUGAGAUGGGUACUAUGUUUCCUGAGAAUGGUGGCUAUGUCGUCUGGGUCUCUUCAGCUCUUGGGCCCUUUUGGGGUUUUCAGCAAGGCUGGGCAAAGUGGCUCAGCGGUGUCAUAGAUAAUGCUCUCUAUCCAGUCCUUUUUCUUGACUAUGUCAAGUCCAGUGUCCCAGCUCUCGGGGGUGGGCUUCCAAGGACUUUUGCGGUGCUUAUCCUCACAGUUGCCCUUACUUACAUGAACUACAGAGGAUUGACGAUAGUUGGCUGGGUGGCAGUCUUUCUUGGGGUGUUCUCUCUGCUCCCUUUCUUUGUAAUGGGAUUGAUAGCGAUUCCACACAUUGAACCUUCAAGAUGGUUUGAAAUGGACCUGGACAAUGUGAAUUGGGGCCUGUAUCUAAACACUCUGUUUUGGAACCUCAACUACUGGGAUUCAAUCAGUACAUUGGCUGGAGAGGUUGAGAAUCCAAAGAGAACCCUCCCCAGGGCACUUUCUUAUGCUCUUGUUUUAGUAGUCGGGGGAUACCUCUACCCUCUGAUCACCUGUACAGCAGCACUUCCGGUUGUUCGGGAGUCGUGGACAGACGGAUAUUUUUCAGACAUUGCAAAGAUUCUUGGUGGUUUCUGGUUGCACUCGUGGAUUCAAGCGGCGGCCGCAUUGUCAAACAUGGGCAACUUUGUUACUGAAAUGAGCAGUGAUUCUUACCAGCUUCUCGGGAUGGCUGAGCGUGGCAUGCUCCCUGAGUUCUUCGCCAAGAGAUCACGCUACGGGACCCCGCUGAUCGGCAUCCUGUUCUCGGCGUUCGGCGUGGUCCUGCUGUCCUGGAUGAGCUUCCAGGAGAUCAUUGCCGCGGAGAACUACCUCUACUGCUUCGGGAUGAUAUUGGAGUUCAUCGCCUUCAUCAAGCUGAGGAUGACCCACCCUAGCACCUCCCGGCCUUUCCGGAUCCCGCUGGGCACCGUUGGCUCCGUCCUGAUGAUCGUCCCUCCGACCAUCCUGAUCGUCGUGGUGAUGGCGCUGGCUUCCUUCAAGGUGAUGGCUGUGAGCGUCCUGGCGGUGCUCGUCGGGUUUGCGCUGCAACCGGCCCUGGUGUACAUGGAGAAGAAGCGGUGGCUGAGGUUCUCCGUCAGAGAGGACCUGCCCGAUCUGCUGGAGUCCUCGUCCGGCGCCGCCCAAGAUGACACCACCCCCCUCGUGGUCUGA